rnacentral:rRNA from 1 species
CAAGUCGAACGCGUUGGCCAACUGAUUGAACGUGCUUGCACGGACUUGACGUUGGUUUACCAGCGAGUGGCGGACGGGUGAGUAACACGUAGGUAACCUGCCCCAAAGCGGGGGAUAACAUUUGGAAACAGAUGCUAAUACCGCAUAACAGUUUGAAUCGCAUGAUUCAAAUUUAAAAGAUGGUUUCGGCUAUCACUUUGGGAUGGACCUGCGGCGCAUUAGCUUGUUGGUAGGGUAACGGCCUACCAAGGCUGUGAUGCGUAGCCGAGUUGAGAGACUGAUCGGCCACAAUGGAACUGAGACACGGUCCAUACUCCUACGGGAGGCAGCAGUAGGGAAUCUUCCACAAUGGGCGCAAGCCUGAUGGAGCAACACCGCGUGAGUGAAGAAGGGUUUCGGCUCGUAAAGCUCUGUUGUUAGAGAAGAACGUGCGUGAGAGCAACUGUUCACGCAGUGACGGUAUCUAACCAGAAAGUCACGGCUAACUACGUGCCAGCAGCCGCGGUAAUACGUAGGUGGCAAGCGUUAUCCGGAUUUAUUGGGCGUAAAGCGAGCGCAGGCGGUUUGAUAAGUCUGAUGUGAAAGCCUUUGGCUUAACCAAAGAAGUGCAUCGGAAACUGUCAGACUUGAGUGCAGAAGAGGACAGUGGAACUCCAUGUGUAGCGGUGGAAUGCGUAGAUAUAUGGAAGAACACCAGUGGCGAAGGC